CAACAUGUUAGCUCAGAUAUAUAUUCUGUUAAGUUGAUUUCUAAAUGGUUAUACAAGUGUCCCCACUUGGAUAAUUAUGGCAUUUAUUCACAUGUUGAUACACCUUUGUCAAUUACCCGUAUAUAUAUAUGUUGAAUUACAUAUUAUUGUUGAGCAAGAUUAAAAACCUUCGGGUUUGGAACCAGGCAUGUAUGAACAUCCCUAUAUGGGAAAAUUUUUGCGCCCGAGGCGGAUAGAAUAAAACGAUGAAUUUCGUUCAGAGUUAUAUAGUAUUGAUCAAUACAGG
rnacentral:lncRNA from 1 species